rnacentral:rRNA from 1 species
UGCAGAGACUGCAAGCGUUAUUCGGAUUCACUGGGCGUAAAGGGUGCGCAGGCGGCCAAGUGUGUGAGGCGUGAAAGCCUGGGGCUUAACUCCAGAAUUGCACCUCAAACUACAUGGCUAGAGCAUUGGAGAGGGUAGCAGAAUUCACGGUGUAGCAGUGAAAUGCGUAGAUAUCGUGAGGAAUACCAGAGGCGAAGGCGGCUACCUGGACAAUUGCUGACGCUCAGGCACGAAAGCGUGGGGAGCAAAAGGG